GACGAACGCUGGCGGCGUGCUUAACACAUGCAAGUCGAACGCUGAAGCUCAGCUUGCUGGGUGGAUGAGUGGCGAACGGGUGAGUAACACGUGAGUAACCUGCCCUCUUCUUUGGGAUAACGCCCGGAAACGGGUGCUAAUACUGGAUAUUCACUGAUUCUCGCAUGGGGGUUGGUGGAAAGGUUUUUUCUGGUGGGGGAUGGGCUCGCGGCCUAUCAGCUUGUUGGUGGGGUGAUGGCCUACCAAGGCUUUGACGGGUAGCCGGCCUGAGAGGGUGACCGGUCACAUUGGGACUGAGAUACGGCCCAGACGCCUACGGGAGGCAGCAGUGGGGAAUAUUGCGCGAUGGGCGAAAGCCUGAUGCAGCGACGCGGCGUGAGGGAUGGAGGCCUUCGGGUUGUAAACCUCUUUCGCUCAUGGUCAAGCCGCAGCUUUGGGUUGUGGUGAGGGUAGUGGGUAAAGAAGCGCCGGCUAACUACGUG
rnacentral:rRNA from 1 species